AAAUCUCAAAAAUCCCCUUUUCUUUGAGAAGGGGUUUUUGGACUUGGAGGUUCAAUGCUCGCCUUUAGUUUUGAAAGUGAGCUCCUCUCAAAUGAAUUAGUGGGGUCCACUUUGCUGAUCCUUGACGUGAUAAGAUAUUUCUACGUUUUGGAUUUGGCACUGUCUUUUGGACGUUCGCUCCCAACUGUCUUACAGACAAUGAUGGUGUUUCGGUCACUGCCAUUUACAUUGGCGGGAGGCUGGACCCACAAAAGAAAAC
rnacentral:misc_RNA from 1 species